rnacentral:misc_RNA from 1 species
GAUGAAGAACGUAGUGAAAUGCGAUAAAUAAUGUGAAUUGCAGAAUUCAGUGAAUCAUCGAGUCUUUGAACGCACAUUGCGCCCCCUGGUAUUCCGGGGGGCAUGCCUGUCCGAGCGUCAUUGCUGCCCUCAAGCACGGCUUGUGUGUUGGGCCCCCGUCCCCCCCUCCCGGGGGACGGGCCCGAAAGGCAGCGGCGGCACCGCGUCCGGUCCUCGAGCGUAUGGGGCUUUGUCACCCGCUCUGUAGGCCCGGCCGGCGCCUGCCGACCACCAUCAAUCUUUUUUCAGGUUGACCUCGGAUCAGGUAGGGAUACCCGCUGAACUUAAGCAUAUCAAUAAGCGAGG